UACUUGUUAGCUAUCUUACUGGCUUAGGAGUAGUUUUAUUUGAUAUCUUUGUGGUGAUCUGUCAAUCUCCUGAUGGUUAAAAAAAGUUUCCACAAAGUUGUUCUCUAACCCCUGCAUGUAUAUACCACAUGCUGCAUGAGUACUCAUACGCAAGUGAAAAUUAAACAAACUUACCUGGGCUGGAGAUAACGCAGCAGUUUAGAGCACUGGCUGUUCUUCCGAAGGACCUGUGUCUGAUUCCUCGCACCCUUAUGGCUCACAGCCAUCUGGAACUCUAGUUCCAGAGGAUCUGAUGCUCUCUACUGGCCACCAUUGGCAACCAGGCAGAGCACUCAGUCAUUCAGGAAGAUUAGAGUGUACAGAAGAACCUAGAAGCUUCCAGAUCUAGGUCAGGGAUAGUUAGAUUAGAGGAGAUGCUCUAGGCUCAGCCCACGCCAUGUAUUCACGUAGUUUGGGUACAGCUCUCAUCUCAUCACUUCAUGUGAAGAACUAAAAGUGACAUUUACACCUAAGGCCCAUAGCCAGCCACUGUAGCCUAUUUGUUAUCUCCAGGCCAAUGAGAGACCUUGUUUGGAAGGAGGUAGAUGACAUUCCUAAGGAUGACACCCAUUCGUACUCAAACAAGAAGCAGACACACAGAUACAUGUAUGCAUUACACAUGCAUUGAACAAAAAAUGAGAACAAUAGUUACUGAGAUGUAGUUACUCAUCAGAAGGGGGCAUUUCAAGUAAGAUUUUUCAGGAGAUUAAGAUUUUAGAGUACAUAUUGUGGGCAUAGAAUUUUUCUUUGUGAUGACAGAGCAAAAUAGAGGAUAGCUAGCUAAUAGUAGUGGGGCAGUUUAUUUAUUUUCAGAAUGAACAGAGAGGCUGCUAUCAUCUAGGUUAUGGUCUUGAAUUUUGCCUCUCACCAAUUGUGUUCCUUGGAGAAAUGGCUGGUUCUAGGUUCAGGGGCAGGAAAUGUGUGAGAUGAGCCUAGCAUACUCUGUCAGACAGCAAUGAUUUGUAUAAUACAUAUCUGAGUUCCCUCUGAAAGACUUGGGAAUCAAUAGAAGGCAUCUCACUGACCAAAAUAAGACAUUUAAUAUUAUAGAGAGAGUUGCAUAGGCCAGAAUAUUAAAUAUGUUUGAUUUGUGGUAUCAUAAUGAUAGUUUACUGAGCAAGAACAAGCUUAUAGGUGAAUCUAUAGGUGAAUUUGAGAAAACUAAUGAAACAGUCCAUUUUGAAAGAAAAAAAGCUAUUCCUCAUGGCCCAAGCUGUCAGUUUCACUUACUAGGGAGGCUGAUGCAGGGGGAUCACAUGUUCAAAGACUCCAUGAGUAAGAGACUGGCUACUGGACAGCCUGAUCAACUUAGACCCUAUUCCAACCAUGAUGUCCCCCUACCCAUAAAACGUUGGUGUAGAAAGAUUUUUAGUGUAAGUGGAAUGAUAGAUAGUUUUGUUUGUUUUGAGUUAGGGUAUCUCUGUGUAGCCCAAGCUGUCCUGGUACUCAGUCUGCCUGACUCUGCCUCCCAAGUGUUGGGAUUAUAGGUGCACACCACUACUGCCUGGCAAAUGUAUAUUUUCUUAUUCUUUUUCUUUUUCUUUUUUCUUUUCUUUUUUUAAUUAAGGGGCUUUUUUUUUUUAAUAAGUGCUCUUCUUACCUGCUGAGCCAUCUCACCAGCCCUCAAAUGUACAUUUUCAAUGCUGCACAUUUGAUAAUACUUUCUUUUUAAUAAGCAAUAGUGCCAUGUGUAGUGGUACGCACCUUUAAUCCCAGCAUUCCUGGUGUAUAGGCAGGUGAAGCUCUGAGAGUUCAAGCCUAGCAUGGUUGGUCUAAUAUACUGAGUUCUAGAACAGCAGCCAGGACUGCAUAAUGAGACCCUGUCUAAAAAGACAAACAAAAAGCCCCUCAAACAGUGAAGAAGUAUAUACCAUGGAUCAUUGAAAAGAAUGCUUAUUUUUCGUGAGUAUCUUUCUUUUUUUCUUUUUUCCUUUUUUUUGUUUUUUGUUUUUUGUUUUGUUUUUCAAGACAGGGUUUCUCUGUGUAGCCCUGGCUGUCCUGGAACUCACUCUGUAGACCAGGCUGGCCUCGAACUCAAGAAAUCCACCUGCCUCUGCCUCCCGAGUACUGGGAUCAAAGGCGUGUGCCGCCACCACCACCCGGCUUUUUUUUUUAAGAUUUAUUUAUUAUUAUUUCUAAGUACACUGUAACUGUCUUUGUACACACCAGAAGAGGGCGUCAGAUCUUAUUACAUGGUAGUUAUGAGCCACCAUGUGGUUGCUGGGAUUUGAACUCAGGACCUUCGGAAGAGCAGUCAGUGCUCUUAACCGCUGAGCCAUCUCUCCAGCCCCCGUGAGUAUCUUUAUUAAAUGCAGCAUUUUAUCAUAUUGCUGAAGUUUUUUGAUGUGGUUAUAUGACUUGUUUGUAUAUGUGCGUGUGUGUGAAGGACAACCUUAGCUGUCUUUCUGGAGUUGCUACCACCUUGCCUUU
rnacentral:lncRNA from 1 species